GAACCCCCCAGCACGGUGGUAGAAGUCUUUCAGGUGGAGUGACGGCGCGUCGGGAGAGAGCAAAAUUCUGUCCGCGGUUCAAACAUCCGCCGUGAGCUGGCGCCACCGUGAUUGGGCCCGACGUGCGGCUCCGCUCGCAUGGAAAGCAAGGGCUGCUAAAGGGUGCGUUCCAAAUCCUACUCGAGUCAACUCGGGAGUAGCGCUCUACCCGAAGCGCCGUUCCAAAACCGGGUCGAGUAACUCGAUGACGUCACUACCCGCGUUCCAAAACAAGGUAGAGUAAGGAGAGAGUUAACUCGAUUCAACUCUCCUCCGAAGGCCGGUCAGUGAAGGUUCGCCCGAGUAAUGACGUCAUGCUUUUGUCGUCUGCUGUUUUCCGCGAAAGCGCGGCAUCGAAACCAGCUGAACAUGUGGUUGUCAAAAAGCCUCGACCUCCACAACGGGUUAUCAAUACACAACUGGACACCGAAAUGGCCACACUCUUCCUAUGCGGAUUGUGCGACAUGGUUUUUGAGGACCAGGCGAACGCCCAAAGACAUGCGAGCCGGAUACAUUUCCCAGGAAAAACCGUUCAACUAACAUUCGACUCCGACGCCGCAGAUAUUUCCGUGACCCAAACCACGUCCGCACCACUACCUCAGUUCCAGGAUUCCAACCAGCAGCUGCCACCUUUUGUAUUUUUUAUCUUCUGUCGUCAUGGUGUUACCGUUUCUCUUUUUUUUAUAUCUUUUGACUACGAAGUGCAACGGGAUGUAUCCACAUUAUGCAUUUGGGGUAGCUAAUGGUACGUGAAAACUCCCAUCCCACAAAAAAAUAACAAAUAAAUCACGACAAUGUCA